CUUCAUCUCGGAACAUUCGAGUCUAGCUUUAACCGACACAAACGGCUUGUCAUCAUGACACCAUCAAGGACAGCGUAUAAAUGUUGAAUGCCCAUAUUAAUUAUUCACAAUGUGAGAAACUCCUUUUCACUGAGGUUUACGUAACCAGACAUGAACCUUGGCGGCACCGUUCUGAUGCAUUUUUCAUUCCCUUUUUUUUUUUUUUUUUUUUUUUUUUUUUAAAUCCAUGAAAAAUAUAAACCUCAAAUGCAAAUGCUGCCCAUAUAAAUAAAUUAAAUAUAAAUAAAUAAAUAAAUGCUGGCUACAUUAACCACCUCCUUCUGAAUGGAGCACAGGAGUCGAUAUUCUGAAGGUCAACAGUAUUGCGUAUGCUUAUUGUUACGGUAUAUUGUGAUAUAAUAUCAUACUGAGACAUAGAACUAAAUAUCUAUAAGAAAAACGCUAUUGAUUGUACAAAAGAAAUUGCCUGAAAAUUCGUCGUGUGUAUUUAUUUAUGCAGUUUGUGUCUCAAAUUCUCAGUGUUGAGAACAUCACUGUUGUAUAAAACGACUCGUUACAGCUGCAGAUGUAGAUCCUGGGGAAAUUGCUAUAGUAGUUUAUAGUAAGGACACACAUUUUGCUUUGUUACAGUGUGUAAAAAUACGAGUUUUGCUGGGAUAAGCCUUGCUUUGAAUUCGCUGGUUGGGAUCUGGAAGUAGAUGUUUUGUUUGAGAGAAACAGAAUGAUGGAAAGCAGAAGAAAGUGAAGGUUCUGACGCUGAUUUGAACACGCUCUCGUCUGCUUCACGGCUUAACGCUGCAAUCCGGCGUACUCACGAGCCGUGAUCGAAACGCCUUCCGGUGCUUCGGCUCGGGAAAAAAAAACCCCACGGAUGCGCCGGGCGUAAUCGUAAUUGUAUGGCUAGUCUCGGAAUCUGAUGAAGAUGGGGCUCGGUGGACGUUGUCCGAGUUCCCGUCGGGGAAUUGAAAGUCGAAUGACCGCUCCGUCAGGCUUUUCCGUGUACGACGGAUUGCAGCAUGAGGGUCGUUGGAUUGCUCUGUCAGUUCGAGUGAAGUUUAAUGAUAAUUUGUCUUUAGUGAUCACCUAUACAUUACAGCACGGUGAAAUUCGGAUACCCCAGCAUGUCAGGAAGUUGGGGUCAGAGCGCAGGGUCAGCCAUGAUACAGCGCCCCCUGGAGCAGACAGGGUUAACGGCCUUGCUCGAGGACCCAACAGCGGCAGCUUGGAAGUGCUGUGGCUUGAACCCCCGACCUUCCGACCUCCCAAAAGUUUGUCGAGAUUGGUGUCAGCAUGGGAAUAUCGAAUCUUACGGAAUCAGCUAAUUGGCACAGAGCGUACAAAUUGGUGAGGAAAACGCCGAGGCCGUGUUUAGAGAUCUGCUCUCUUGUGCUGUAAGUCGACGAGGGCGUGUUGAUAAUACAGUAUUAAACAUAUGGGAUGUUUCACAGAAAGACAUGAAGCACAAAUGUACAUUCUAUAUGUUCCUGUAAGGAGA
ensembl:lncRNA